UAAAAUAUAGCUAAAAGAGUAGCAUCUCAGUUACGUUGAGAAGAGUAAUCGUGCAAAUCGGUUUAUUUUAA
rnacentral:tRNA from 1 species